UCCAGGAAACCGUCGCUGCCGCUGCCGCCGCCGCAGCCACCGACCGCCGCUUCGGGCGCAGCGCGCAGAGGCCUGCUACUUUAUCCUUUUCAAUAACCACUUAUGUGUUGUUUGGUAGUGUAGUAGUUAUCACAUUUGUCUCACACGUGAAGGUUUUCAGUUCGCAACCAGGCAGAAACAACUAAGCUUUCUUUUAGGGGAAUGAGGGGCCUUAAGGUGUUUUCCAGUCCCACACUUUCCUUACAGCUUCUCCCUCCCACCCAGGGUCAAGGCUAGACCAAGUUCCAUACUCUACCCACAGGACCAUUCUUGAAUAAAAAAAUUUACAGAAUGUACUGACCGAUAGUCACCUGACCCUCUGGAAAGUCCCAGUUUUCCCAAGGCUUUCUCCUCUUCCCUAUACUUCAAAGCUGCAAAGAUGGAAAAUGGAAUCUAUAAAAGUGGAAAAUGAAUAGACUUGGAAGAAAAGCUGUUUGGAAGAAAAGGAGGGUCUCUGGGCCAUCCAGUCUCUGGUUCCUGGUCAUCCUGGCAAUGUGGGGCAUGGGCUCCCUUUCCUGGCAUGUGCCCCAAAUUAGACCAGUCAUUGGUUGGCCACUUCUACAAGCUCUGAGCAACCACCAUUGCCCCUGUACAUCUUGCAAGCAGGAUAGAUCAUAAGUAGAAGAUUUGUGGCUGUGUUGGUGUCCUUGUUGUACCUCUGGAAGUUGCCCAUAUAUAGAAGAUGACCAAUUCAGGCUCUGAAUCCUCCAUUACUAGAAGUCCUUGCUAGCAUCAUCCACCUAAAAUCCUGGGAGUUUCUACUUUAUUAGAUUUCUAAAUCACCCCUCCAAUGCUUUUCAAUUCCAGUUGCCUCACGCCAUACUCUCUCUCUCUCUCUGUCCCUCCUGAUGACAUGAUCCCUCCUGUUCCCAUUUCUACCUACCCUGGUCCA